UACAGAGGUCUCAAGCGUUGUUCGGAUUCAUUGGGCGUAAAGGGUGCGUAGGCGGCGCGGUAAGUCGGGAUGUGAAAUCUCGGAGCUUAACUUCCGAAACUGCAUUCGAUACUGCCGUGCUUGAGGACUGGAGAGGAGACUGGAAUUUACGGUGUAGCGGUGAAAUGCGUAGAUAUCGUAAGGAAGACCAGUGGCGAAGGCGGGUCUCUGGACAGUUCCUGACGCUGAGGCACGAAGGUCAGGGGAGCAAACGGG
rnacentral:rRNA from 1 species